rnacentral:lncRNA from 1 species
GUCUUAUUCUAUCUUCAGGAAGUAGUGAUGGUGAAUCAUUGAGUUAACAUUGUGUUGUUUAUCUUUGUGGUCUUAUUCUAUCUUAUGGAAGGAAAGAAAUAAUUGGAUCUUCAAUCAGAAAAAUGGCGGAUUGGAUCAGUUAGCAGACAACAUCAAACUUUUGUCUUUUUCUUGGUUAAAGAGGCCAAUAUGACUACUUUCGCUUUUAGUUAUAAUGACCGGUGGCGGCAUCCGUUGAUUUGUAUGCGUGUUCUUGUGUGGCAUUUCUUUCUGUUAUCUCUUCCGCUACUGUUAUUUUUUGGAAACAGACUCUUCAGUGUGUAUUUUGAUUGGUGGUUCUCCUUUACAUACCUUAUGCGAGGUGAAUCACUUUUUGUGAGUUAAUAUAAAUUCCAUUUUGGCUUGUUAAAAAAAAAAA